UGGUGGAGUGAUUUGUCUGGUUAAUUCCGAUAACGAACGAGACUCUAGCCUGCUAACUAGUUGCGCCGUGUUCAUUCGCGGCUGUAGACUUCUUAGAGGGACAGAUGGCGUAUAGCCAUACGAAAUUGAGCAAUAACA
rnacentral:rRNA from 1 species